GACGGAAGGUGCAAGCGUUGCUCGGAAUCACUGGGCGUAAAGGGUGCGUAGGCGGCUUGGUAAGUUGGGUGUGAAAGCCCCGGGCUCAACCUGGGAAUUGCAUUCGAUACUGGAUAGCUAGAGUUCGGCAGAGGGAAGCGGAAUUUCCGGUGUAGCGGUGAAAUGCGUAGAUAUCGGAAGGAACAUCAGUGGCGAAAGCGGCUUCCUGGACCAGAACUGACGAUCAGGCUCGAAAGCGUGGGGAGCAAACAGG
rnacentral:rRNA from 1 species